UUUGAAGGUAAAAAGCGUAACAAGGUUUCCGUAGGUGAACCUGCGGAAGGAUCAUUACAGUAUUCUUUUUGCCAGCGCUUAAUUGCGCGGCGAAAAAACCUUACACACAGUGUUUUUUGUUAUUACAAGAACUUUUGCUUUGGUCUGGACUAGAAAUAGUUUGGGCCAGAGGUUUACUGAACUAAACUUCAAUAUUUAUAUUGAAUUGUUAUUUAUUUAAUUGUCAAUUUGUUGAUUAAAUUCAAAAAAUCUUCAAAACUUUCAACAACGGAUCUCUUGGUUCUCGCAUCGAUGAAGAACGCAGCGAAAUGCGAUAAGUAAUAUGAAUUGCAGAUUUUCGUGAAUCAUCGAAUCUUUGAACGCACAUUGCGCCCUCUGGUAUUCCAGAGGGCAUGCCUGUUUGAGCGUCAUUUCUCUCUCAAACCUUCGGGUUUGGUAUUGAGUGAUACUCUUAGUCGAACUAGGCGUUUGCUUGAAAUGUAUUGGCAUGAGUGGUACUGGAUAGUGCUAUAUGACUUUCAAUGUAUUAGGUUUAUCCAACUCGUUGAAUAGUUUAAUGGUAUAUUUCUCGGUAUUCUAGGCUCGGCCUUACAAUAUAACAAACAAGUUUGACCUCAAAUCAGGUAGGAUUACCCGCUGAACUUAAGCAUAUCAAUA
rnacentral:rRNA from 1 species